rnacentral:rRNA from 1 species
AUUUCUAGCCCAACCACCCACACAUAUAACCAAACACACCAUUAAAACAAAACAUUCACCACACUUAAAGUAUAGGAGAUAGAAAUAUAUCUUAGGAGCUAUAGAGAUAGUACCGUAAGGGAAAGAUGAAAGAUCGAUUGACAGCACUAAAAAGCAAAGAUUCACCCUUGUACCUUUUGCAUAAUGAAUUAGCUAGAAAUCAUUUGGCAAAAAGAAUUUUAGUCAAAGACCCCGAAACUAGACGAGCUAUCUGCGAGCAGCUCUUAAGAACGAACCCAUCUAUGUGGCAAAAUAGUGGGACGACUUGCAGAUAGAGGUGAAAAGCCAAACGAGCCUAGUGAUAGCUGGUUGUCCAAACAAGAAUUUUAGUUCAACUUUAUGCCUACCAACAGAAACUCUAAUCAAAAUGUAAGCAUAAAAUCUAAUCUAAGAGGGGACAGCCCCUUAGAGCCAGGAUACAGCCUGAAUUGGAGAGUAAGUUUCACCUACUACCAUAGUUGGCCUAAAAGCAGCCAUCAAUUAAGAAAGCGUUAAAGCUCAACAUCAACCCGAAAACCAAAUCCCACAUAUAACUACAAACUCCCAAAACACUAAUACUGGACCAAUCUAUAAACUUAUAGAAGAAACACUGCUAAUAUGAGUAACAAGAACCCACCUUCUCCUCAGGCACAAGCUUAUAUCAGAUCGAAUACUCACUGAUAGUUAACAAUGAUACGUAAACACCCCACACCUAAAAACUUACGUAAUUUCUACUGUUGACCCGACACAGGAGUGCAUUCAAGGAAAGAUUAAAAGGAGNGGAAGGAACUCGGCAAA